rnacentral:rRNA from 1 species
AGUAACGCGUAGGAACCUGUCAUCAAGUGGGGGAUAACGCUGGGAAACCGGCGCUAAUACCGCAUGUGGUCAGCAAUGAAGAAAGCAGCAAUGCGCUUGAUGAGGGGCCUGCGUCCGAUUAGCUAGUUGGUGGGGUAAGGGCCUACCAAGGCGACGAUCGGUAGCUGGUCUGAGAGGAUGGUCAGCCACACUGGGACUGAGACACGGCCCAG